UACAGGGGGUGCAAGCGUUGUUCGGAAUUACUGGGCGUAAAGCGCGGGCAGGUGGCCUUUUAAGUCCUUUGUGAAAUCCCGGAGCUCAACUCCGGAUCUGCAUAGGAUACUGGAGGGCUAGGGACUGGUAGAGGCGAGCGGAAUUCCUGGUGUAGCGGUGGAAUGCGUAGAUAUCAGGAAGAACACCGGUGGCGAAGGCGGCUCGCUGGGCCAGAUCCGACACUCAGCCGCGAAAGCGUGGGGAGCAAACAGG
rnacentral:rRNA from 1 species